rnacentral:lncRNA from 1 species
CAGGCGUAUGCACGCGUAAACGAAGUAUAUUUAUGCUCAAAAGAAAUUCAGUUUCUUCUUAGGUUUCUCUUUCCUGUAUUCUCUAUAGUGGACUAGUCCUGCUUAUUUUUAUUGCGGCUCAAAACAUGACAAAUGAUUGCUCAGACACCUCCGUGACAACCGGACUGCUCUAUAUUUAGUUAAUGAUAACCCGGUGGUUCACACAUUGAAGUAUGGGAACCAAUUAUUUGCAAUGAUAAAAAGGUAACCCAGCAAACCCAUGCCAAGAUAAACUAAUACUUGAGCCGCCGGGGGCAACUCUAAACUCAAGAGCUCACUACGAGAUACGUACUGUGAUCUGCAUGUGACUUUCGGGCGCCUGCGAGGCAUGUCCGUUCCACUUUCAUAGUCUGAAGACAGAAAAUAGAAAAUAAAAUAGCGUUAUGAUUGUAAGAGGCACGGGCUGACACGGCCAUCACGGCUCUAGAAGGAAAGUUCUCUUCUGGGGGAGAAGAAGGAGGCAUUUGUAACAUGCCAGUAGCCUACUUUCCUUCAGCUAGGAUAUGUAUGGUCUGCUGCUGUCCGCUGGUCCUCCUUGGUGGGGCUGGAUUUAUACCCGUCUUGGGGGGUCUCUCGCCGCCUCUCUGCCUUGGAGGUCUGUGUGCCAUCGGGGCUCACCUCCCCUCGGGGUCAGCUGGAGACUGCCAGGGUCACACAUUUCUGAUCUCCAAACCUCAAUUUAUAGCUGAAGGUUAUGACUUUCAAGAUUCUCAUGGUUUCCUGUUAAAUCGAGCUGAGUGUUGUUGAAGGCUAUGUGGGGCUUUUUUUUUUGUUUCUUCUCUAUUUUCUUUUUACAGUAAACCUGCCUUUGAUUUUUAUUUUUCAGUUCUUUUUUUAUCAAGGUAGACCUAUAGCUUUGUACAUCAGCUGAUUACACGUCCUUUAGGAAUGAAACAGUGUGUUCCAUAGAUCCUUUAAAGCAGUUUGUUUGCUUUGCUUUGCUCUUGUUUUCAGCUAAUUGGAUAUUAAACUCAUCAAUACAGUGACACAAACUGUUCCCCUACAAAUAAGUUUAGUGUUUUCUACUGAAUUUUUUCUGUGACUCUUAAAGUGUUCGUGUAAGAUUUCAAAUGCUGGAGCUACAAAAGCAGUAGUCUUCAAGUUUAUCACAAGACAGUAAUAAUCUUUAAAAAUGUUCCAGUCGAAUGGGGCAAUGACUGGAUUGUUACUUUCAAUCCCAGCUGCUUAACCUUUCCUGUUUUUAGAGACUAACUGUAGUGCAGGAACUCCGUAUGGGAAUUACCUCCCCUUCCUUACGUUUGCAUAAAAAAAAACAGCUGAAAAUGUAAACUCCUAAAGUUGGACUGCCACGGUUUCUAAUUCAACACAAUGGCAGCAACAAAUGUAUUUUCACACCAGGGUUACAAAUUCUUCAGCAGGGAGGACUUUUCUUUCAAAAGGAGAAUUACUCUUUAAUGUGUGAAUGAGGUGUGUUUUAUACAAAUACAGAGUACAGAGGUUAAGCUUUAAGCUUUUUACACUUCAUAUACAAAUACUCUAAGGGGAGACACUGUUGGUUUGUUAAAUGUAUGACUAAUUAAGAAUAUCUCACUGUUUCUAGUUACAUCAGAUUUUCUCCUACCUCUGUGUACCUCCAUUUUUAUUCUUGUGUUAUUUGCAAUGUUGUAAUCUCUUUUCACUUGUUAUUGUACAAAUAAAAAUCAUUGAGCAUCUUGCUACACUUCAGUCUGAGAUAUUUCUAAGACAAUGCUCUUUGAAUGAUAAUGGGAGGUUAUGUUAUUUGAUCCACGAAAGAAGGACUUGCAUCGUUAACAAGAAACAAAUACGAUGGGGAAAUUGGAACUGUCCAUGUGACAAAAUUGCCAUUUUGAAAAUUACUGGUUUUGCAUUUGAAAAACAUGCAUUUGAAAAACAUGUCAAUCAGAAGUGCCAUUCUAAAAGAACAACUUUCAACUACAGUCCACACUGCUACACAUUGCAGAUGGAGUUUCUCAUAUAGGCAGUGAAAUAAAUUAGGCUACUUCAAACUGAAUCAUAGAUGAUUUCAAACUUAAAAAUGCUACAGGUUCUUGGACUUAUUGUGUUAACUUGUGAAGAAAGAAAACUAUAAUCAUGAAAAAAUUGAGCAAAGAAAACAAUUUAUUGCAUCUGAAUAUGUACUCAGUCAACAGGUAAUAACCUGUUUUGUGUUAUUAGUGAAUCUGUUUCAAUAUAGACAAAUGUAUCAGUUGAAGAAGAAUACUAAAUGAUUGUUCAACAUUUUAAAGUAUUCCAGUUUUGUUUUUAACAUAGUAGUGUGGAUCCCAGUGCAUUAAAAGAUUUUCCAUUAUCCGAGUUUGUUUUGCGGAUGAGAACACAAAACCAUGAGAACAGUCACAGAUGAGUGGACGUUAUUUGACC